AGGUGGGAGGAUCACUUGAGCCUGGGAGGUUGAGGCUGCAGUAAUGUGUAAUUGCACCACUGCACUCCAGCCUGAGUGACAGAGUGAGACCCUGUCUC
rnacentral:miRNA from 1 species